UACGGGGGGAGCAAGCGUUGUUCGGAUUUACUGGGCGUAAAGGGCGCGUAGGCGGCCACCUCAAGUCGACUGUGAAAUCUCCGGGCUUAACCCGGAAAGGUCAGCCGAUACUGCGGGGCUAGAGUGCAGAAGGGGCAACUGGAAUUCUCGGUGUAGCGGUGAAAUGCGUAGAUAUGCGGAGGAACACCGAUGGCGAAGGCAAUCCCCUGGACCUGUACUGACGCUCAUGCACGAAAGCGUGGGGAGCAAACAGG
rnacentral:rRNA from 1 species